rnacentral:rRNA from 1 species
UACGUAGGGGGCAAGCGUUGUCCGGAUUUAUUGGGCGUAAAGAGCGUGUAGGCGGCUUUACAGGUCCGUUGUGAAAACUCGAGGCUCAACCUCGAGACGCCGGUGGAAACCGUAAGGCUAGAGUCCGGAAGAGGAGAGUGGAAUUCCCGGUGUAGCGGUGAAAUGCGUAGAGAUCGGGAGGAACACCGGUGGCGAAGGCGGCGUCCUGGACCAACACUGACACUGAUGAGCGAAAGCCAGGGGAGCAAACGGG